rnacentral:rRNA from 1 species
UAAACAUUGACAGUUAAUUACACCCACUGUCCGCCUGGGAACUACGAGCACCAGCUUAAAACCCAAAGGACUUGGCGGUGCUUUAGACCCACCUAGAGGAGCCUGUUCUAGAACCGAUAAUCCCCGUUAAACCUCACCCUUCCUUGCCAUUUCCGCCUAUAUACCACCGUCGUCAGCUUACCCUGUGAAGGCCCUAUAGUAAGCACAAUCGGCAUUGCCCAAAACGUCAGGUCGAGGUGUAGCGAAUGGAAGGGGAAGAAAUGGGCUACAUUUACUAACUCAGUAAAUACGGAUGAUUACCCUGCAACGAGUAUCUGAAGGAGGAUUUAGCAGUAAGCAAAAAAUAGAGUGUUUUGCUGAAGUUGGC